UUUAUUUUGAAGGAUGUGUGUUAGCAUUUUCACUGUCUUGGUUCCUAGAUCUUUUGCGUGUAAAUAUAAUAUCCUCAGUAUGUUUUUAUGAAAUUGCGUAAAUAAUUACAUUGGGUUUAAUUUUAAGGUUCCAUAAAGCGAAAUAUUUGUGGUUAUCGCUGGAAGAGCAUCGUAUAUUUCAGACGGCACUCGACGCAGUUCCGCUGGCUUUACUCCUCGUGUGUGGAGCUCGUCUUCCCAGGGCAGGUGCCGCCAAAUGAGAUGGCAGUGUAAAGUCUGUGGAUUCAGAGCGACAACAAGGGGUGAUCUUCUGCAGCAUUACAGACUACUGCACAGGACGUUUGAGAUUGGAAAUUCGGCCACCUGACAUGGAUUCAGCAAUGCUCCGGGUCCUUUUUGGGCACAGAAUAGAGAAACUGACUCUUCCAUCCGGAAUACCAGAGACAAUGGAGGAGCUGAACUUGGCCAUCAAACAGACAUUAAGUAUAACCGACAACUUCAGCCUGCAGUAUUUAGAUCCAGAUUUUGGUGACUUUUUUACUCUCAACUCCACUGCUGAAAUUACCCACAAGGCCACAAUUAAGGUUGUGACAAUCAAUCCAGUUGUUCUCAGUUUGUACCCAUUACCACUCAAUGACAGCUACGAUGAAAGUUUCACCUCAGAGCAAUCCCAUGAUCCUGCCUCCACAAGUUCCACUGUACAAGACUCUUGUGGCUCGUGUGAGUCAUCAUCUGAAAGCUCAGCCAUCAUUUCAGCAAGCAGCAGCCUACAAAAGAAACCAUGGCCAACUGAUUUCAUUAUUCCACGAUUCUCUGUUGAAACCGAAAUGAUUCUUGAAAGAGCAAAUGAAGUUUAUAGAAAAGAGGGCACACUGCUGACUAUGCCAAACAUCAAGUCCGAUAUACUUGAAAAGUUAGCUCAGUCCAUUUAUACAUACACUCCCUAUCCAUCACUCCAGAAUCGUCUUUCUGUCGCUGAAGCACUUAUCAAGGCACACCCAUGUCUCAAGGAUCCAGGCAGCUCUUCAGGCGUCAUUGGUUGGCAGAAUAGUAUUAAAUACAAGAUGGCUAACUACAGAACCAAGUUAAGAGGCUUUGG